rnacentral:rRNA from 1 species
AUCGUAGAUCAGCAUGCUACGGUGAAUACGUUCCCGGGUCUUGUACACACCGCCCGUCACACCACGAGAGUUUGUAACACCCGAAGCCGGUGGAGUAACCAUUUGGAGCUAGCCGUCGAAGGUGGGAUAAAUGAUUGGGGUGAAGUCGUAACAAGGUAGCCGUAUCGGAAGGUGCGGCUGGAUCACCUCCUUUCUAAGGA